rnacentral:rRNA from 1 species
AACGAACGCUGGCGGCAGGCUUAACACAUGCAAGUCGAGCGCCCCGCAAGGGGAGCGGCAGACGGGUGAGUAACGCGUGGGAAUCUACCCAUCUCUACGGAAUAACGCAUGGAAACGUGUGCUAAUACCGUAUACGUCCUUCGGGAGAAAGAUUUAUCGGAGAUGGAUGAGCCCGCGUUGGAUUAGCUAGUUGGUGGGGUAAAGGCCUACCAAGGCGACGAUCCAUAGCUGGUCUGAGAGGAUGAUCAGCCACACUGGGUCUGAGACACGGCCCAGACUCCUAGGGGAGGCAGCGGUGUGGAAUAUUGGACAAUGGGCGCAAGCCUGAUCCGUCCAUGCCGCGUGAGUGAUGAAGGCCCUAGGGUUGUAAAGCUCUUUCACCGGUGAAGAUAAUGACGGUAACCGGAGAAGAAGCCCCGGCUAACUUCGUGCCAGCCGCCGCGGUAAGAC